GCCCCUGUGGAUCAACGGUAGAUCGUCCUCUCUCAUUUCAUCACCACUAUCCCACGAGGUUUCUGAGGAAGCUGUGGGUUCGAAUCCUACUGGGGGCA